UACGGAGGGUGCGAGCGUUGUCCGGAAUCAUUGGGCGUAAAGGGCGCGUAGGUGGCUUCUCAAGCGUGCGGUGAAAGCCUGGGGCUCAACCCCGGGUCGGCCGUGCGAACUGGGGGGCUGGAGCACUGUAGAGGCAGGCGGAAUUCCGGGUGUAGCGGUGGAAUGCGUAGAGAUCCGGAAGAACACCGGUGGCGAAGACGGCCUGCUGGGAAGUUGCUGACACUGAGGCGCGACAGCGUGGGGAGCAAACAGG
rnacentral:rRNA from 1 species